rnacentral:rRNA from 1 species
UAUUCUACCGGAGUACUAUGAAUUAUAUAAAAUUUAAAACUCAAAGAACUUGGCGGUGUUUUAGACCACUUAGGGGAACCUGUCUCGUAAUCGACGGUCCACGUUGCACCUGACCUUUUUUUGUUUUCAGUUUGUAUACCGUUGUCGUCAGGUAACUUUUUAGAGAAUAGAAGUUGGCUAUAGAAAUGUGGUAAUUUAGUACGUCAAAUCAAGGUGCAGCUAAUAAAAAGGGGAGGAUGGGUUACAAUUAUUUAAUUAUAACGACGGAUAUCCAUAUGAAAGUGUGGAUCUUGAAGGAGGACUUAGAAGUAAAUUGAAUUAGAUGAACAGUUUGAAUGAGGCUCUGAAACGUGU